rnacentral:lncRNA from 1 species
CUAACCUACCCAACCACCCCCUAUUUUUCCUCCAACUCCCUCAACCUCCCACAUCACACCCCUAUAUAUACACACACUACAACACACAGACAACAUAUAUACACACACAUACAACAACAAAAAAAAAGGGAGACACACCCAAAACUUAGACAAAAAAAUCAAAGAGAAACAAAGGGAAAACAAGAAAAACAGUGAAUGGAGAAAACGGAAAAAAGAAAAACAAAAUUGGAAGAAGAAUAAGAAUAACAAGAAGGAGAGUUCUUUAAAUUUGGUGAAUUGAGUUUUGGGUCUCCGUUUGAGUUUUCCGGUGAAGGCGUUCUUGUUUCUAGUUUAGUUAUUCUACCACACAGGUUUCUAUUUGAUUCCUUUACUCAUAUUUUUUUUUGGAAAUCAAAGCAUGAAUGAAGUUAUU